UGGGGAAUAUUGCGCAAUGGGCGAAAGCCUGACGCAGCAACUCCGCGUGAGUGAUGAAGGCCUUCGGGUUGUAAAGCUCUUUCGGCCGGGAAGAAGGGUAUUUCUGUUAACAAUGGGAAUAUUUGAUGGUACCGGAAUAAGAAGCACCGGCUAACUUCGUGCCAGCAGCCGCGGUAAUACGAAGGGUGCGAGCGUUGUUCGGAAUUAUUGGGCGUAAAGGGUUCGUAGGCGGGAAGCCAAGUCAGAUGUGAAAUUCCUGAGCUUAACUUGGGACGUGCAUUUGAAACUGGUUUUCUUGAGUACUGAAGAGGGUGGUGGAAUUGCUGAUGCAGGAGUGACAUCCGUAGAUAUCAGCAGGAACACCGGAGGCGAAAGCGGCCACCUGGUCGAGUACUGACGCUGAGGAACGAAAGCGUGGGGAGCAAACAGG
rnacentral:rRNA from 1 species